AUGCUAUGGUCCACCACCAGUUUAUCGAGAGGAAUGAAUCACCUCUCCGGUAUCGCUAAAUGUUUGACAAACGUUGUGCUGUCCGUAUUACUCUCCCUGCUCCUGCCUUCUUUGAUUAUCAGGCAAAAGGAAGAUAUGUUAUUACUAGAGAGGAGGCAGAUGAGUACAAGAGGAGUGCGGAGGCAGCUCGCCGCCACACUGCAGCUCAGGAGGCAACAACUGCCGCAGCUCAGUACGACCCCAGCUACACGACAGGUAUCCGCCAGGCCAUCCUUGGCAAUAAACCAACUUAGGCCAAAAGCCUAA
rnacentral:rRNA from 1 species